AAUUUUCUUAUUUCUAACCUGAGAAUAAUUAAACAUUAACUCUCCCUAUAGCCAAAAAAACCAUGGCCAAGCUUAACGUUAUUAUGGUGUCUUUUGUUAUUCUAGUUGUGGCGAGUACAUGUAUUCCUUCAUUAGCUGUAGAGGAAAAUGAGCCCAAAAAGUUAUGGAAUCAAUGUGUUGUUAAAAUCAGUCUAAAGUGUGCGCUCAAUAUCAUUUCUCAAGUUUUUGGUAGUGGAGUUGUAUCCAUUCCUUGUUGCCAGGAGCUUGUAAAAGAAGGAAAAGAGUGUCAUGACACCCUUGUCAAAUAUAUCGCGGAAAGACCUAGUUUAAUCGGAAACGAAUCCAAAUAUUUACAGAAAAGAGAUGAAGUAUGGGCUCAUUGUGUGUCUAUUUCAAAAUCGUUAUCACCGGCUUAACUAUAUUAUGACGUAAUUAUAUGUAAUUUUUGAUAAAAUAAUUUUUAUUUGCUUACAAGUUCAAAAUAAAAUCAUUUAUAUACAUGUGACAUUUAUUAUUUACCGUCUUGUGUUGCAUGCUUUCUUUAGCAUUAUUUUAUUCUUUUCGAAUACCAAAUAAAGAGGUAUAGCUCAAAAUAAAAAAAAAAUAGUAUUUAAAUUUUUUUAUGAACUCCCAAUUUUAAUUAGCUUAAAUAAGAAAAUAUCAAAAAGCAGAUUUUAUUUGUAAGCACAAGACUCUAGUCUUUCACAGCUCCAUAAGAUCGCAACAUACUUAUUACACUUAAAAUAUAUCUUGCUAUUAGCCGCACAACGUUUUCAAGAUUAAAUUUUAGAGUUUAAAAAAUAUUUACAUAUGUUUUUUUUUAAUUCAGCAAAUUAUAUUCUGAAGUAUGAUUUGAAAAACGAACCAAAUACAAAGGUAGUUGCAUCUCAAAACAGUACUACAAUAAAGCAUUUUAAAAAGGUCCAUUUUUUACUAAAGUGUCUCAUUCAGAAAUAUAUAUUUUAAUUCCUUAAUUUAUGUAUGUAUAUUCCUUAAUUUAUGUAUGCAUGGAUACUUUGGUACAUUUGGAAAGGUAGAAAUAAUAAGGUUUUCAGUAAUUUGGACAUGGAUCCUAUGGACACGCUAAAAUUGGCUGAAACAGAAUCCACAUUGUGGGCUGAGGCACAAGUAAAGAAUGAUCAGAGGAUACCAUUACCAUCAGCAGCUACGGUACUGCCGGCGAUCCCAGGAAGAUGGUGUUUUACGGAUGGCUCGUGGAAGGAGGGUUUUAAUUUUUCAGGACAAGGUUGGUUCAGUACUCUGGAAGGUUUUGAUGGUUUGUUGGGGGCUCGAAAUGUGAGGGCUACUCUCUCGCCUCUCCAUGCAGAAAUGGAAGCAUUAUUAUGGGCAAUGGAAUGUAUUGUUUAAUAUUAACUUUACUUGCGAAAUAUAUCUAGUUAUUAAACUUUUAGGUAAGUCAUAAACUCAUAAAAUCUAAUAUCGCUAGCUUAACUUUGAAACAUCGUUUUCAUUUUUUAUUUUGUUUUUAUAAAACAAGUUAUUAUAUGGAUUUUUACAUAUUAUUUUGGAUAAAGAAUUGAAAUUUGUAAAAUUUUAUCCCGAUGGAGUCAUGUUUACCUCGUAGCAAUCUCUCAGCAUAAUGAAAUUACAAAAUGAGAAAGAUAAAAUUAUUGACAAGGGCGCUACAUCACGGAACAAAAAGAAAAUAUUAAAUCUGAAACUCUUUUUAACCUCUGAGUGAUAUACGCUGAUAAAUACUCAGAUAUUAAUAUUAGAAUCAUUUUUGAGACUGAUCACAUGUUAGACUGUACUUUUGGUUUUUGAUUUUUUUUUUUUGACAGCAAACAUUUACAGACUCAUGUAGACUCUGUAAACCAAGGUGGUGACUUUGCGUCCAUGUGCACGACGAAAGACGGUUGUUUCCUAGUACUAUGUGCCAAGCUAUCCGCCCUUAUGUUCUCCGUCCUAGAAACAUGAACAAUAUCUGAGUUGACGAAACUGCAUCGCAAAAGCUUAAUAUCCUCCAAGUAGCUAUCAAAUGCUGGUCAUUCCUCUGAUUCCGAAACCAUCUUCACCAAUUGGGAAGAAUCCGUCGCAAACGUAACCUGAAACUGCCUUAAGUUUCUCAUACAUUCCAUUGUCCAAAUUAGAGCCUCUAUCUCCGAAUGAAGAGGUGAGAGGCAUGCCCUUACAUUCCUUGCUCCCAAUAAACCAUCAAACCCUGGUAACGUAAUGAACCAUCCUUGUCCUGAAAAAACAUCCUUGUCUUUCCAAGAACCGUCUGUGAAACACCAUCUUCUUGUGGUUCCUAAAUCCGGCCUAGCCUGUACUUCCCGUGUCAACCUAUGAUCCUUAAUGACAUGUGUCCCAGCCCACAGUGUUGAUUCAACUUCUGCUAAACGGAGCGUUUCCCUCGGAUCAACAUCCAGGUUACUAAACACUUUGUUGUUCCGGCCCUUCCAAAUGUACCAUAAUAUCCAGGCAAAGUGAUGAUCCUCCAUUUUUGGGUUAACUCUCCAACAAAGAUGGUCCAUGUUAACAAAUAGGGAGCCAAUUGGGAAAAGGUUUGGUUUCGACGGGAUUCUAGAUAGUGCCCACACUUGACGUGCUGGAGAACAUUCAAAAAACACAUGGUUUAUUGAUUCCUCCGGAUCGCCACACCGGGCACAACAAGUGUCUCCUUGUAUCCCUCUUGCUUUAAGGAUUUUCUUAACCGCUAUACAACCGGACACCAACUGCCAAAGAAAAUGCUUUAACUUUGGAGGAUACCGCACUUUCCAGCAAAAUGCUUUGAGAAUAUCUACAUUGGGUCCCUCUUGCUUUAAUGUUUUUAUAGUAAGUUGAUAUACAACCACCAAAAUAUAUGUUGAUGACAACAACAAUAUUCAGUAUAUUAUUAAUGGAAUUUAAAUACUUGUAUAACUUCUUUUUGUAUGUUUAUUUCUAUAUUACAUGAAUUCUAUUUUUUUUAAUAAAUGAUUAUUUUAUAUAAAUGAUUAACCUAAACAGUUAAUAACUUCAUCAAGAAAAAUGUAACUUAAAAAAAUUAAUGAACUAAAAACCGUCGAAAGCCAAGUUAUUUAUCACCAAAAUAUUUUCAAUAUUGAUUAUUCAUAUCUAUAAAUAGGGUUAUCAUCGUUUAUUCAAAUCAGAUCAUAAAUUUAAAAGAAAAUUUCUUAUUUCUAACCUGAGAAUAAUUAAACAGUAACUCCCCAUAUAGCCAAAAACACCAUGGCCAAGCUUAAAGUUAUUAUGGUGUCUUUUGUUAUUCUAGUUGUGGCGAGUACAUGUAUUCCUUCAUUAGCUGUAGAGAAAAAUGAGCCCAAAAAGUUAUGGAAUCAAUGUGUUGUUAAAAUCAGUCCAAAGUGUGCGCUCAAUAUCAUUUCUCAAGUUUUUGGUAGUGGAGUUGUAUCCAUUCCUUGUUGCCAGGAGCUUGUAAAAGAAGGAAAAGAGUGUCAUGACACCCUUGUCAAAUAUAUCGCGGAAAGACCUAGUUUAAUUGGAAACGAAUCCAAAUAUUUACAGAAAAGAGAUGAAGUAUGGGCUCAUUGUGUGUCUGUUUCAAAAGCGUUAUCACCGGCUUAAUUAUAUUAUGACGUAAUUAUAUGUAAUUUUUGAUAAAAUUAUUUGUAUUUGCUUACAAAUUCAAAAUAAAAUUAAUUGUAUUUGCUUGCAAGUUCAAAAUAAAAUCAUUUAUAUAUACAUGUGACAUUUAUUAUUUACCGUCUUGUGUUGCAUGUUUUCUUUAGCAUUAUUUUAUUCUUUUCGAAUUGCAAAUAAAGAGGUAUAUUUCAAAAUAAAUAAAAAAUUAUUUAAAUUUUUUUAUGAACUCACAAUUUUAAUUAGUUUAAAUAGGAAAAUAUCAAAAAGCAGAUUUUAUUUGUAAGCACAAGACUCUAGUCUUUCACGGCUCCAUAAGAUCGCAACAGACUUAUUACACUUAAAAUAUAUCUUGCUAUUGGCCGCACAACGUUUUCCAGAUUAAUUUUUAGAGUUUAUAAAUAUUUACAUAUGUUUUUUAAUUCAGCAAAUUAUAUUCUGAAGUAUGAUUUGAAAAACGAACCAAAUACAAAGGUAGUUGCAUCUCAAAACAGUACAAUAAAGCAUUUUAAAAAGGUCCAUUUUUUACUAAAGUAUCUCAUUCAGAAAUAUAUAUUUUAAUUCAUUAAUUUGUGUAUGUUUAUUUAUGUUAUUAAUAUGUCUAAUAUUAACUUUUCUUGCGAAAUAUAUCUAGUAAUUAAAAUUUUAUGUAAGUCAUAAACUCAUAAAAUCUAAUAUCGCAAGCUUAACUUUGAAACAUCGUUUUCUUUUUUUUUUUUAUAAAACAAAUUAUUAUAUAGAUUUUACAUAUUAUUUUGGAUAAAGAAUUGAAAUUUGUAAAUUUUUAUCCCGAUGGAGUCAUGUUUACCUCAUAACAAUCUCUCUGCAUAAAGAAAUUACAAAAUGAAAAAGAUAAAAUUAUUUGACGGGGGUGCUACAUCACGGAACAAAAAGAAAAUAUAAAAUCUGAAACUCUUUUUAACCUCGGAGUGAUAUACGUUGAUAAAUACUCAGAUAUUAAUAUUAGAAUCAUUUUUGAGACUGAUCACAUGUUAGACUGUACUUUUGGUUUUUGAUAGUAAGUUGAUAUACAACCACCAAAAUAUAUGUUGAUGACAACAACAAUAUUCAGUAUAUUAUUAAUUGGAAUUUAAAUACUUGUAUAACUUCUUUUUGUAUGUUUAUUUCUAUAUUACAAGAAUUCUAAUUUAAUUUUUUUUAUAAUGAUUAUUUUAUAUAAAUGAUAAUCCUAAACAGUUAAUAACUUCAUCAAGAAAAAUGUAACUUAAAAAAAUUAAUGAACUAAAAACUGUCAAAAGCAAAGUUAUUUUUCACCAAAAUAUGUUUAAUAUAGAUUAUUCAUAUCUAUAAAUAGGGUUAUCAUCGUUUAUUCAAAUCAGAUCAUAAAUUUAAAAGCAAUUUUCUUAUUUCUAACCUGAGAAUAAUUAAACAUUAACUCUCCCUAUAGCCAAAAAAACCAUGGCCAAGCUUAACGUUAUUAUGGUGUCUUUUGUUAUUCUAGUUGUGGCGAGUACAUGUAUUCCUUCAUUAGCUGUAGAGGAAAAUGAGCCCAAAAAGUUAUGGAAUCAAUGUGUUGUUAAAAUCAGUCCAAAGUGUGCGCUCAAUAUAAUUUCUCAAGUUUUUGGUAGUGGAGUUGUAUCCAUUCCUUGUUGCCAGGAGCUUGUAAAAGAAGGAAAAGAGUGUCAUGACACCCUUGUCAAAUAUAUCGCGGAAAGACCUAGUUUAAUUGGAAACGAAUCCAAAUAUUUACAGAAAAGAGAUGAAGUAUGGGCUCAUUGUGUGUCUGUUUCAAAAGCGUUAUCACCGGC
rnacentral:lncRNA from 1 species